rnacentral:misc_RNA from 1 species
UCCGGCUUCCCGCCGGCAGUCUCCCGAGAGUCCCCGACUUUACUCGCUGGUAACACGGGAUAGGGGUUGCGCUCGUUGCGGGACUUAACCCAACAUCUCACGACACGAGCCGACGACAGCCAUGCAGCACCUUGCUACCUGCCCGAAGGAAACCCCCUUUCAGGGGCUGUCAGGUAGCAUUCGAGCCUGGGUAAGGUUCUUCGCGUUGCAUCGAAUUAAGCCACAUGCUCCACCGCUUGUGCGGGCCCCCGUCAAUUCCUUUGAGUUUCAUUCUUGCGAACGUACUCCCCAGGUGGUAUGCUUACUGCGUUAACUGCGUCACUGCCCCCGACAGCUAGUCAUCAUCGUUUACGGCGUGGACUAC